GUUGUGUCCAUGUAGGACAAUGGGUAGUGCGUUGGACUUCUAUUUCAAAGGUCGUGGGUUCGAAUCCCACAUGCAAUG